rnacentral:antisense_RNA from 14 species
AAUAAGCAUUUAAUGUUCGCUGACAGAGUACCGAACGAACACAGUCCUGUUUAUCAAAACGGAUGAUGCCGAUCAUCUCAUCCUCAGUAAAACGCUCCAGUGCAUCGCUGAGACCCGAUUUCACGCCUCUAGGCAGAUCGCAUUGGGUAAUAUCACCAUUAACGAUGACCGUGACAUUUUCACCGAGGCGGGUC